GGCCACUAUACUGUUAACCAGUUCGAAUCUAUCUGACUCGUCGACCGACCAUCACCGCCUACUCCCGUCCUCCGUCCGCCGUUUCCCGCCCAAAUCCCCACCGCCGCCCAAAUGUUGUCCUCGGAGGACGACGAGAAGGCCGCCGCCGCGGCGCAGAAGCUUGCGGGCUUCCUCCUCAACUUUUACGCCGAAGAUAUUCACCGCAUCCUCCUCGACGACGAUCCCUCCAAGCUCCAUUUCCCGCUCGUUAUUUCAUUCGCCGAGCUUACGGACUUCGACCCCAAGUUCGCCGGCUACCUCUAUUUAAAUCCCGAUAAGUACCUGCCCUACCUCAAAGACGCCGCACAAAUGGCCCAGGACAAGGUGUUGAAGAACUUAGGGGAUUUGAAAACCACGGAGACGAAGAAGUCCGUUCAUGUGCGUAUCGAUGUCUCUGGAUCGCCGCUAGAACCCCCUGAGGUGUCCCCAAGUAUUGGUAAGGUGAGGGUGAAACACAUGAAGAAAUUGAUUGCUCUAAAGGGAACUGUGAUUAGAUCAGGUGGUGUGAAGAUGAUUGAGUUCGAGAGGUGUUACAUGUGCAGGAAGUGCAAACAUAGCUUCAAGGUCUAUCCUGAGCUGGAGGCUGGGAAUCGUAUAAAUCUUCCUCCAUCGUGCCCAUCCAAGGAUUCGAGAAGCUGUACAAGUGUUUCUUUCCAGUUUGUAGAAGGUAGCACCAUUUGCCAUGAUUACCAAGAAAUCAAAAUUCAAGAGAAUGUACAACUUCUUGGUGUUGGGUCUAUACCCCGUUCCAUACCUGUAAUUUUGAUGGAUGACCUUGUUGAUAACAUUAAAGCUGGAGAUGAUGUCAUUAUUACGGGUAUAUUAUCUGCCAAAUGGUCUCCUGAUAUUAAGGAUGUGCGGUCCAACCUUGAUCCUAUGCUGCUUGCUAAUUAUGUGAGGAGAACAAAUGAGCUGAAGGCUGAUAUAGACAUUCCCGUGGAAACUGAAGACGAGUUUAAGUGUUUCUGGGAAAAACAUACUCCCCUACAAGGAAGAAAUAUUAUCUUGGAAGGCAUUUGCCCUCAAAUUUAUGGGCUAUUCACGGUGAAGCUUGCAGUUGCUCUUACAUUAAUUGGUGGAGUGCAGCGUGUUGAUGCUUCUGGAACAAAGGUUCGUGGAGAAUCCCAUAUGCUUCUUGUUGGUGAUCCAGGUAUUGGUAAAUCCCAAUUUUUGAAGUUUGCUGCUAAAUUGAGCAACCGAUCUGUGAUCACAACUGGUCUCGGAAGCACCAGUGCUGGUUUAACUGUCACAGCUGUAAAGGAUGGUGGGGAGUGGAUGCUUGAGGCUGGUGCUCUUGUUUUGGCUGAUGGUGGCUUAUGCUGCAUAGAUGAAUUCGACAGCAUGCGAGAGCAUGACAGAACAACAAUACAUGAAGCCAUGGAGCAACAGACAAUUAGCAUUGCGAAGGCUGGAUUAGUUACAACACUCAGUACAAGGACUACUGUCUUUGGUGCCACGAAUCCAAAAGGGCAAUAUGACCCUAAUGAAAGUUUGUCUGUGAAUACAACACUUUCAGGACCACUGUUGAGUAGAUUUGAUAUAGUUCUUGUUCUUCUGGAUACACAAAAUACUGGUUGGGAUGAAAUAGUUUCAUCUCAUAUACUGAAGGAGAAUUCUGAUGAAAAGAAAGACAAGGCAGAUGCUUCUGAUAUAAAGUGGAUGCUCCCCCAGUUGAGAAGGUGGAGACCUUUGAUGUGUUGCUUACUUCCCAUGAAAUAAUAAGGCUGAGGUACAUCAAUUAUGUAAGGAGGAAGUUUAAACCAGUGCUGACAAAGGAGGCUGAAAGAGUUAUCUCAAGCUAUUAUCAUCUACAGAGAAAAUCAGGAACACAUAAUGCAGCAAGGACAACAGUGCGCAUGCUUGAAAGUUUGAUAAGGCUAGCACAAGCACAUGCACGAUUAAUGUUCAGAAAUGAGGUUAGACAACUUGAUGCCAUUGCUGCCAUAUUAUGCAUGGAAUCCUCCAUGACAACAUCUCCUAUAGUGGACAUCGUUGGAAAUGCUUUGCACUCAAAUUUUACAGUUGACCCUGAUGAAGAAUAUAAAACACAGGAGAAGAAGAUUCUCAAGAAACUCGGAAUAACUCAAGGAUCCCCAUAAUUCAAUACAAACAUCAGUUGCUGCAUCCUGUAGAUUUAUUAACGCAUGGACUUACAUGCUAUUCUGCAUAUUGAAUCAGUGAUACAUGAAGUCUCUUGGUGGAACAAGGCCUGCCUUUGCAGUUCAUGGUGUAUAUACUUCUUUUGGGCAUGUAAUUUGUCCAAAUUUGCAAUAUGUAUCAGAUUGGUCUUUUUUGUGAGCUCUUUGAUGAUGGGAAUGUUGUCUACUGCUGAAAGUACAACGUCAUUAAAUCCUGUAAUAUUCGCUCCCAUUGGAGUCGAGUCCAGGACCUAAGAUGCUACUAAGGCUUUUAUAACCCCUAGGCUAUAGUUCCUUUUGCUGUAUCAGAUUGGCUUUGUAAUGUGUAACAAUUUCUUGUCACUUAGUUUAUUACUUAUGACAUCUAUCUGUUCACUUAGUUUAUAUCUUAUGGUAUCUAUCUGUUCAAAUUGAAAGAAAUUAAGUUAUUGAAUGAGUGUCGUCUGUCA